UUCGUCUCGUGGGCUCUCCCUGGCUGUCUCUUUCUUUCUAACGCCGAACGACUACAGGCGCUGCCUUUCUGCUCGCUCGAGGGUUUGCAAUCACUUCUCUCCCACAUUCGCAUCUUCGAUCUCCGUUGGAAUCCCGAUUCGAUUUUAGGGUUUCUUUCAAUUCUAGUGCUUCUAUUUGCUUGUAUCUGGAAUCUCCUACGUGCCUCCGGUUUGGACCCUGCAAAGAAAGAUCCGGGACUGGAUAUAUAAUUCGGGCUUCUUCUGCUCGGGGUUGGCUGAUUCUGGUUCUUCUUUUUGAUGGUUCAAGAAGCCUUUCGAGAUCUACGGAUUGUCUGUGAUAUUGAAAAUUGAGGAUUUUUGAUAGGGAAGAUAUGGAUUUGGAUUUCAAUGUCGAUGUCGCGUGUCUGGAUGCCGAAUUCUUGCAGCUCCCGGAGGUGUCCGCCUUCGCCAUCAAGGCUAACCCUUAUGUUGCCGAAAAGCUCUUCGAUCAGUGGCUUUCGCUUCCUGAAACCAAUUCUUUGGUAAAAUCCUUGGUUAAUAAUGCCAAGGGGGGCGGUGCACUAAAUGCUGUUGGAACUUCAUCUAACACAAAUACUGCCACCAGCAAUUCAUUGCCUUCAAUGUUUCCUGCUGGUAGUACGCCGCCACUUUCACCAAGAAGUUCAUCAGGUUCUCCCCGGGUCAUGAAACAGAGAGCAGGCCCAUCCGCUUUAGGCUCUCCCCUGAAAUUAGUUAAUGAACCUGUAAAGGAACUUAUACCUCAGUUCUAUUUCCAAGAUGGCCGUCCACCAGCAAAUGAAUUGAAGGAACGGUGCUUGUUUAGAAUCAAUCAGUUCUUUUAUGGUCACAUGGAUGGACUUCAAAUGCAUGAAUUUAAACCAGUAACAAAGGAAAUUUGCAAGCUCCCAUCAUUCUUCUCCACAGCACUUUUUAGAAAGAUUGACACUGACGGCACUGGCGUUGUUACCAGGGAUGCUUUUGUAGAUUAUUGGAUUAAUAAGAACAUGCUGACAAAAGAUAUCUCAACGCAAAUGUACACAAUUUUGAAGCAACCAGAUCUCAAAUGCUUGACCCAGGAUGACUUUAAGCCUGUGCUUCGAGAACUUCUGGCAACUCAUCCAGGGUUGGAGUUUUUACAAAGUACCCCAGAAUUUCAAGAAAGAUAUGCUGAAACUGUAAUAUAUAGAAUAUUUUUCUACGUAAAUAGAGCUGGGAAUGGUCGUCUUACACUCAGAGAGCUUAAGCGCUCAGAUUUAAUUGCUGCUAUGCAGCAUGCGGAUGAGGAAGAGGAUAUUAACAAAGUCUUGAGGUACUUCUCUUAUGAACACUUUUAUGUGAUAUAUUGCAAGUUCUGGGAGUUGGAUAGAGAUCAUGAUUUUUUGAUUGACAAAGAGAACCUCAUCAAAUAUGGUAAUCAUGCACUUACCUACAGGAUUGUUGAUAGAAUAUUUUCUCAGGUUCCCAGAAAGUUUACCAGUAAGGUUGAAGGAAAGAUGGGCUAUGAAGAUUUUGUUAAUUUCAUAUUGUCAGAGGAGGAUAAAUCAUCUGAACCCAGUCUCGAGUAUUGGUUCAAAUGCAUAGAUAUAGACGGUAAUGGAGUAAUUACAAGGAAUGAAAUGCAGUUCUUUUACGAGGAGCAGUUGCACAGAAUGGAAUGCAUGGCACAGGAGCCUGUGCUUUUCGAAGAUAUUCUGUGUCAGAUAGUUGACAUGAUCAAUCCAGAGAAUGAGAGCUACUUUAUGCUACGGGAUUUCAAAGCAAGCAAACUUUCCAGCAGUGUUUUUAACAUUCUUUUUAACCUUAACAAGUUUAUGGCUUUUGAGACUCGUGAUCCAUUCCUAAUUCGCCAGGAGCGUGAGAACCCAAAUUUAACCGAGUGGGAUCGCUUUGCACACAGAGAAUAUAUCAGGCUUUCAAUGGAGGAAGAUGCCGAAGAUGCCUCUAAUGGAAGUGCAGAUGUUUGGGAUGAAUCACUGGAAGCUCCCUUCUGACUUAAGUUUGUUCACCACACAUUGAUGCCAAAUGUGGUCCAUGGCACAUUUAUUGAAAGUGAUUCUAUGUAAUGAAUUCUUUGUAUGGAUAUGGAACCGCCGACUGAUCUUUAAAGCAACAUUUUGUGGUACAAACAUAUGAUUUCCGGUCCGCUGCACUGAUGGUAUGUUUAAAUACUAUGAAGAUGAUUUUGAGCUUAUCUGCAUGUAGCAUUCUUGCCAGACUAGAGGAACCUCAAAUUUCUUGAUGCCGGUGGGAGCAUUUAGAAAAUGGCACUGGGGGAGCUUGUCGACUGGAAGGCUAAUCAGGAACAGAUGUAUUUCCGUUGUCUAGCUUGUAAGAAAACAUUUUGUUAAUUAUUUCUUUUUUGGAGACACUUUUCUAGUGGCA